GGCGGAUGUAGCCAAGUGGAUCAAGGCAGUGGAUUGUGAAUCCACCAUGCGCGGGUUCAAUUCCCGUC
rnacentral:tRNA from 56 species